rnacentral:rRNA from 1 species
UACGUAGGGUGCGAGCGUUAAUCGGAAUUACUGGGCGUAAAGCGCGCGCAGGCGGUCUUCCAAGUCAGUGGUGAAAGCCUGGAGCUCAACUCCAGAACUGCCAUUGAAACUGUUAGACUUGAGUACGAGAGAGGUGAGUGGAAUUCCCAGUGUAGAGGUGAAAUUCGUAGAUAUUGGGAAGAACACCAGUGGCGAAGGCGGCUCACUGGCUCGUAACUGACGCUCAGGCGCGACAGCGUGGGGAUCAAACAGG